GAUGAACGCUGGCGGCGUGCCUAAUACAUGCAAGUCGAGCGAACAGACGAGGAGCUUGCUCCUCUGACGUUAGCGGCGGACGGGUGAGUAACACGUGGAUAACCUACCUAUAAGACUGGGAUAACUUCGGGAAACCGGAGCUAAUACCGGAUAAUAUAUUGAACCGCAUGGUUCAAUAGUGAAAGACGGUUUUGCUGUCACUUAUAGAUGGAUCCGCGCCGCAUUAGCUAGUUGGUAAGGUAACGGCUUACCAAGGCAACGAUGCGUAGCCGACCUGAGAGGGUGAUAGCCCACACUGGAACUGAGACACGGACCAGACGCCUACGGGAGGCAGCAGUAGGGAAUCUUCCGCAAUGGGCGAAAGCUUGACGGAGCAACGCCGCGUGAGUGAUGAAGGUCUUCGGAUCGUAAAACUCUGUUAUUAGGGAAGAACAAAUGUGUAAGUAACUAUGCACGUCUUGACGGUACCUAAUCAGAAAGCCACGGCUAACUACGUG
rnacentral:rRNA from 1 species